GUGCUCGUUUCAGCAGCACAUACAUUAAAACUGGAACAAUACAGAGAAGAUUAGCAUGGGCCUGGCCCAAGGAUGAUAUGCAAAUUCAUGAAAAGUUCCAGUUGUUC
ensembl:snRNA U6 U6 spliceosomal RNA